AACGAACGCUGGCGGCGUGCCUAACACAUGCAAGUCGUGCGAGAAAGUUCCUUCGGGAGCGAGUAAAGCGGCGCACGGGUGAGUAACACGUAGGUAGCCUGCCCCCCAGUCUGGAACAACUAGAGGAAACUCUAGCUAAUGCCGGAUGAGACCACGAUCCCUUCGGGGGUUGCGGCCAAAGAUGGCCUCUACUUGUAAGCUAUCGCUGAGGGAUGGGCCUGCGGGCCAUUAGCUUGUUGGUGAGGUAACGGCUCACCAAGGCUGUGAUGGCUAGCUGGUCUGAGAGGAUGACCAGCCACACUGGGACUGAGACACGGCCCAGACUCCUACGGGAGGCAGCAGUGGGGAAUAUUGCGCAAUGGGGGAAACCCUGACGCAGCAACGCCGCGUGAGUGAGGAAGGACUUCGGUCUGUAAAGCUCUGUUAAUGUGGAAAAAUGGUUAGCGGUCUAAUAGGCCGUUGAUUUGAUGGUACACAUAGAGGAAGCACCGGCUAACUCCGUG
rnacentral:rRNA from 1 species